rnacentral:rRNA from 1 species
CUAAGACUGGAUAGGAGACAAGAAGGCAUCUUCUUGUUUUUAAAAGACCUAGCAAUAGGUAUGCUUAGGUAGGAGCUUGCGUCACAUUAGUUAGUUGGUGGGGUAAAGGCCUACCAAGACUAUGAUGUGUAGCCGGGCUGAGAGGUUGAACGGCCACAUUGGGACUGAGACACGGCCCAAACUCCUACGGGAGGCAGCAGUAGGGAAUUUUCGGCAAUGGAGGAAACUCUGACCGAGCAACGCCGCGUGAACGAUGAAGUAUUUCGGUACGUAAAGUUCUUUUAUUAGGGAAGAAUAAAUGAUGGAAAAAUCAUUCUGACGGUACCUAAUGAAUAAGCCCCGGCUAACUAUGUGCCAGCAGCCGCGGUAAUACAUAGGGGGCAAGCGUUAUCCGGAAUUAUUGGGCGUAAAGGGUGCGUAGGCGGUUAAAUAAGUUUGUGGUCUAAGUGCAAUGCUCAACAUUGUGAUGCUAUAAAAACUGUUUAGCUAGAGUAAGAUAGAGGCAAGUGGAAUUCCAUGUGUAGUGGUAAAAUGCGUAAAUAUAUGGAGGAACACCAGUAGCGAAGGCGGCUUGCUGGGUCUUUACUGACGCUGAGGCACGAAAGCGUGGGGAGCAAACAGGAUUAGAUACCCUGGUAGUCCACGCCGUAAACGAUGAGUACUAAACGUUGGGUAAAACCAGUGUUGAAGUUAACACAUUAAGUACUCCGCCUGAGUAGUACGUACGCAAGUAUGAAACUUAAAGGAAUUGACGGGACUCCGCACAAGCGGUGGAUCAUGUUGUUUAAUUCGAAGGUACCCGAAAAACCUCACCAGGUCUUGACAUGCUUCUGCAAAGCUGUAGAAACACAGUGGAGGUUAUCAGUUGCACAGGUGGUGCAUGGUUGUCGUCAGCUCGUGUCGUGAGAUGUUGGGUUAAGUCCCGCAACGAGCGCAACCCUUAUUGUUAGUUACCAGCACGUAAUGGUGGGGACUUUAGCAAGACUGCCAGUGAUAAAUUGGAGGAAGGUGGGGACGACGUCAAAUCAUCAUGCCCCUUAUGACCUGGGCUACAAACGUGAUACAAUGGCUGUUACAAAGGGUAGCUGAAGCGCAAGUUUUUGGCGAAUCUCAAAAAAACAGUCUCAGUUCGGAUUGAAGUCUGCAACUCGACUUCAUGAAGUUGGAAUCGCUAGUAAUCGCGAAUCAGCAUGUCGCGGUGAAUACGUUCUCGGGGUUUGUACACACCGCCCGUCA